AAACCCCACAGAAAAAAAAAAAGAAAGAAUUUGUGUCCUUUUUGUUGGAAUUCCAAUAAUGACCAACUCCAAGAGACUAAGCCCCAGGUGACUCAUAGAGGAAGGAAAACAUGCAGCAGCUUUUUCAAAGCUGGCCUACAAACGCUUUCCAAAGAUCAAAAAUCCCCUGCGUUCUGAAAAUGGAAGAGAAAAUACGCUUCCUUUGGGGGGCUAUUUGAUAUUCUGCUAGUUCUUCUGAGAUGGAUAACACCAGAGCAGCAUUCUCAUCUCAGGACACAGCGCUCGGUGUUGCACCCAGAUUGAAUUAAACGGUGCAAUGGAUGGGUGAAUAGGAGAGGAACUCAACCUGUCUCUGAAAACAAUUUUCUGCGCGCCUUGGUGCCGGCACCUCCACUGCUCAGAUAUCAUCGAUAACAGAUUUACUAGUGGGGAUAUCUAAGAUCUCGAUUUUAACAACUUCUCUCCUUUUUGGACCAGUGUUGUGUGAUUGUUAUCAUUCACAUUUGCAGAAACAUUAUUGCAGAAAGUUUCCAAACCAUGUUUCCUAACAGGGUACUUGAAGAGUCAACCUCUGCAUCACCAUUAAUAAAAACAAAGCUAUACAAAAAGAUGUAUUUUUAUGCACAAAGAAUUGACCAUUAAGAUUUUGUCUUUUUUUAAUCAAUUAUUUGAAGGAUAAUGCCACAUUCAUCUCACGUACCCACACUGAUGCUACUGUUGGAAGUGCAUUUUGCAGAUAGAACCAGUUCCCUGCAGUCCUCUGAAUAAUUUACCUUCUUAGUAUUACAGAAAAAUAUUUGAAUGAAGUGGAACUUUUGUAGGAUUUCAAUAAUGUAAUUAGAUGUUCAGCAGUGGCUGAUACUCAGAUUAUUUAGAUACUGAUGCUGCUAGUCAUAUAAUACUGUCAUUUUUGUAAUUUAACCCAGCUGUCAGCUCUCCUCCUAAAAAAGGGCCAAGAUUGGAUGAUUAGAGAAAAUAUUGUAGUCCAAGUAUGUGAGCAGAAAAACUCUUCAGGAAUGUAACAAGGCAGAAGAUAACACAAACAUAAAAAUAUGCUUGUGAAUAGGAAGGGUAGUAUUCAGAGCCAGAUUUUGAUCUUUAUUAGGCUAGUGUAAAUCUGGAGGAGCUCCACAGACCUCAGCCUGGUUGCUUUGACCUUGCAGCAGAUUACAGAUACUGAAUGUAAAUCACCGGGGAGAUAGCUUUGUAUUUUUACGAGAAGAGGUGGGUUAUAAAUACAUGCAGAUAUUUACACAAACAUAUGUGGCGUAGAACAUCCCAGUGGUUGUUUUUAUAUGAACCUGUCCAAUGCAGUUUAAUGCAACCACCAACUCCGAUGCACUGAUGUCUUCACCCUCUUGGCCUCAGAGGCUGUACAAUACUCCUAAGAAGUCAAUUUUUAAGAAAUAGCCAAUAGUUUUUUUCUUGUACAUCUGCUAAGAGGGAAUGUCCACUACAUAUACGCAAAGCAUCAAUUAUAUAAACUACAUGUGAAACCAAUACGCAGGUAUCACUGAUGGCUUAUUUUUUUCUUUUUUUUUUCUGCCAUCAAAUCAGAAAGAAAUCAAACCCAAUGUUUGCACUCUAUGCUCCCAUGCACUGACUUUAGUGAUAAUCUAUAUUAGCGUUUUUCUUUUUAAAAUAUAUAUUUUUUUCUAUCCAGUGUCAAGAGCUUGGAUUUCCACAAAGAAGUCUGUUAACCAAAGGCUUUCCUCCUGGUCACAGCCACUCUUUACUGCACAGGGUUCCUGUGGGUAUUUCUUGUGGCACAGGGCAUGGGCAUCCCUGCUGCCUCCAGUGGCUGCUGCUCCAGCACUUUAUCUGUUGCCCAAAGAAGCCAGGAAGAAUCGAUUUGCUGCAUGCAUGCUGGUUGCCAAGGAGAGAGGAGACCUUGGAUGUGUGACUAGGGCUGAUUUCUUUAAAAAUUUGUUUGCCCCAGAUUUAGGAUAUUGAUAUUUCUGAAAACUCAGCUAUCUCAAGCGGCUACUGCCCGUUCCAAAGAGGAGCUAUUGCCCAAAGAUCACAGACCUGGAUGAACACCUUCUUCACCCUUCCAUUUCUGCUGCGUCCAGAAAAUACAUAUCCAGGCCACCACGUUUUCAGGACAGUACAAGUUUGCUGCAGGACAGCAUGGCUGCAGUCACAUAUGUGGGAACCUCCUCCGUUCCCACUGGAGGCCUCCGCUUUGGGUCAAGUGGUAACACUGGAAUCAGCAGUCAUGAAGCAGAGGUUAAAAUGGGCAAUGUGCCGUAAAACUGCCGUGAGAGGGCAGCUGGGAAUUUGGAGGUUUUUCAUUUUAAUGGCACACAGCUCAGAUUUUCUUUUUCCUAAGGGAAAUAAGACUGCUCUUGGAAGCUACCUCCAUACCAUUUGUGCGGAGUAUUUUCUAAGAUGUGGCUGUGUCAGUAACUCAUAGGGCCCAAAGGGGCUUUCCCUGCAGCAUUCACCAUUGUGAGAUAUCAGGAGCCAGAGCGCAGGAUAUAAUCACUAUUUGAUGCACGCAAUUGCCAACAUGGCUUCUUUUCUCAAAAUAAAAUAAAAUGGUCCCAGAGGAAAAAGGAUUUACAAGUAAUGUUGAGUCCAGGAGAGCAGUUCUGGAUCCUGCUGCUGGUCUGGUGGUGACCCAGCCUGAGCCACAUUCCUGCAUGGGGCAACAGUUACUGCAACUGUAGCACAGGGCUAGUGAUAACUGAAACCCCCAGAAAAGCACCUGGAGAUACAGCAGCAAAAUCAAAAGGGUCAUCGUGUGAGAUAAAGAACCACCACUUGAACUCAUCUGACUUCACUCCAGCCCUGUGCUUAACCCCUUGUGACCGUGUUUUCCCUCCCUUUCCUAAGCAGGAUGUUCAGGAUGAUGACCUGACCCUGCAAACCGUACAGAUGUGGGUGAGCUCUGUUCCUGGGCACAGCUGGCGUUCACCCUGGAGCGGCCACUCCAUUCUCUCUUGCAUUUCAAACAUCCCUCACUGUGGCGAGGCUGUUGAUUUGCUAUUGCAGUUGAAAAUUUUUGACAGGUGACUCAUCCCUGCUCUAGCAAUAUGCUGCGUUUGAUCAUCGAGUCCUAGAGGGCUUUUAGCAAGCAAUUAGGAGGUGGAUGUGAAAAUAAUUUGUACGUUUGUCUGUUUGUUGUUUGUCUCCAGCUCUCCUGUAAUCAGUUACCUCUCUGCCUUCCGCUGUGGGCAGGAGGGGCCCAAGAAAUUCGGUUGUCAUGGGAGAGGGCUGUUCGGGGCUGUUGGGAGCUGUCGUGCUGCUACUUGUCCACAUCCCCAACGAAAAGCUCUCCACUAAUAAUUACCACAUCACUGCAAACAGACUGAGGAGAGACAUGAUGUAAAAAUUAAAUUACUUAAAACAUUUUUUGGGCUAACACUCGGCUUUAUAUAAACUCAGAGACAAUCCUAUAAGGCACUCAGGGCAGAUUAUAGGUUUGGGCAAAGCUAGAAAAUUGCUGCCAUUAUAUUGUUAUUAUUAACACCUUGUAAUUAGCCCUAAGGAAUCCUGAAGUUCUCUCUCCUGAUUUGGCUUUAAUGAAGGAAAAUUGCUACCUUUGCAAGUUGGAUGGCGCCCGCUCUGAUUAAUCUUAAGUAUAUAGGACUAUUAUUUUGAAAAUGUUUGUUGUCAUGUGAAUAUUAGUAUUGCAUGUAAAGGGGGGGGGGGAGUGCAGUGGGCUCUUCUCUCUCUUGGCUGUGAUGAGUCACAUGUUCACUUUAGUUACGGUCAUUCCCUUCAAGAUAGAGAAUGGAAACCUUGAGAAGAUAUCCCGACCACAAGCUAAUGAAUUCAGGAGGAUCCUGUGGCAAGGGCUGCCAGCUGCCCUACUGGCUGAUUGCAUUGGCUGAUGGAGUAAUUGUUGCAUGGAGAUAGUUUUAUGAUUGCUUUGAGAGUCUGAAUGAGAUCAUGCAUGAGU